rnacentral:rRNA from 1 species
ACGGGGCCCGCACAAGCGGUGGAGCAUGUGGUUAAUUCGAUGCAACGCGAAGAACUUACCUGGACUUGACAUCCCAGGAAUUCCCCUGGAAACAGGGAAGUGCCUUCGGGAGCCUGGUGACAGGUGCUGCAUGGUUGUCGUCAGCUCGUGCCGUGAGGUGUCGGGUUAAGUCCCAUAACGAGCGCAACCCCUACCUUUAGUUGCCAUCAGGUAAUGCUGGGGACUCUAAAGGAACUGCCUACGCAAGUAGUGAGGAAGCGGGGAUGACGUCAAAUCAGCACGGCCCUUACGUCCAGGGCUACACACGUGCUACAAUGGCCGAUACAGAGGGCAGCUACCUGGUGACAGGAUGCAAAUCUCCAAAGUCGGUCUCAGUUCGGAUCGGAGUCUGCAACCCGACUCCGUGAAGUUGGAUUCGCUAGUAAUCGCGCAUCAGCCAUGGCGCGGUGAAUACGUUCCCGGGCCUU